UUUUCUUCCACUGCCUUUAAUAAUUUCCCCAAAAUUUACUUCCUCUUUUCUUAAAACAACCGAAGAAAAUAGCUCGAAAAAGUGGGAAUUUCGUGCGAUUUCUGUGUUCUUAACUUCUGGUGAAGAAAAUAGCUCCAAAAAAUUGGGGAUUUUGCUUGAUUUCUGCCUUCUUAACUUCUGAUAAAUGGUAUUUGUUUAAUACGGAGUUGAUGAGAAGCCAGUUCUAAAUAAAAGAAGGCAGCUAUUAAAUGAAGAAGUGGGGACUCAAUUUUGGAGACCCAAACUUGUUGGAUUGUUCUAAAGUUUGCAUCUUUCUGUCUUUCCAGAUGUUUUUCUUUUUCUUUUUGUGUUAAUAAGUGGUUAUGUUUUUCAAUUCUUUUGGAACUUUUAAGAUGAUGAGAGUUUGAGAAGGUGGAAGAAGCAUCUUCUUGAAAGUGUGGAUAGCAAUUCUGUUGGAGGUAAUCAUUCUUUUUUAUUUCAAGAUUUGCUACAGGAAUGAACUUUGUGGAAGCAGCUAUAGUAGAAAAAACUAAUACAUAUAUAGACAUUAAGAUUUUUUCCUCAUGAACUAGCAUGUGAAAUUUGAGAUCUUGUGCUUUUCUUGUUUAUGAUGUGGAUUACAUCACUGAUGAUAAUUGGAGGCUUAACAUAACAUACGGUAUGACACGGGAUUUUCAUAUGUACAGAAAAUAGUAUACGUACUGCUACAUACACGAUUUAUUGGACCUCGUGUUUCACAGAAGGAGGAGUGCAUUAUAGGUUCAACAAUACCGCCCCUAAGAUAUGUUUAAUACUCACUUGAUUCUUUUGUUCAAACUGCAUCAACAUUAACCGACAGAGCUCUAACAGUGUUAGAUUUACAGACAGAAAUUCGAAUUGCACUAUAAACAUAUCUUUUUCAGUUCCAUAUCUGAUUCCACACAAAAUGACAACUAAGGCAUGAGAUUCCCCAAUAAAUUGUAGGAGCGCAUAUAUGAUUACACCAAGGCUAUCCUCCAAGGAAUAUAGAACGAUGAUGAAAGAGAAGAUGUUUACUAAUAAUUUAGUACUAAAAGACACAAGGCAUUUCAAACUUGGUAGAUGCAUGAAAAAGCAACUACUCAUAGCUACGUUGUAAGAAUCACAAAGUCUCAACAACUUCAUCUAUUCAUAGUCUUGCCAUUUUACAAGAAUGUAGGCUGAUAAAUAUAAUAGAUGUAGAAAUAAGAGCUUUGUUCAACUGGUAAGAGAAUUUGUGUUAAACUAAUUGAUUAUACAGCUCGGAAAUUGAGCUUGAUUUUUCCCAUUUAGCCUUGAGAAGAUGUAAUUUGAUAAUAGUUUUCUAAAUGUCUACUUUUGUCUACUUUAUUUUAUCGUGCUUCAUGUUUUACAAUGCAGGAAGUAUCUACUUUUUGUUUGGAAUUGUUGUGCUACUAGAAAUGAAACCUUCUUUAAGUUCUCACGAUAACGGUACUGACUUUUCUUCCGCUCCCUUUUUCCCUAUUUUCCAUCUUUUAUUACAUUUUAAAAGAAGUCAUGUAGAGUUUCAGGGACUGUUGCAAUUAUGUAAAAGGUAAUUUGGAUGCCUUUCAUAUUGUUGUGAAGUAUUGAAGUUAUAAUAGCUAAUUGCACAAAAUGUUUACUUUAGUGUUUAUGGACCCUUUCAAUUUGAUGAAAGUAAUUCUUGUGUUGGAUAUAACAAAUGAAAUCAACUGCAACAUUAAUAAACUAAGUUAUUCUAACUCUCCAAAAAAAUUGUUGUAUCAUGUCGGAUUCUUUAAAAGUACACUAUUUCCAAGGAUCUGAUACGCACUCAUUCUAUUAACUUAUACUGAAGAAUUUCAACUAUCCUUGAAGACCACUGUGGUAGAAAAAGAAAAGAAAUCUUGAGGUGCAACUAUUAUUCGACACAAAAAGGAACCCUGCACAUGCAAAUAGUACAUCAAUAUUAGAGACGAACAAUUGCAAACCAAGGACAACAGCAGACCAUAAUUGUAUCUAAUUUACCAUUGUUCACUUACCAUUUCACAUUUUUAAUAAUAAGUUUAUUUUUUAGUUCUAUGGAUAAUUUUGAAAUUGUUCACUAUCUUAAUAACAAAGUCAUUUUUCACUUUUUCAAUUCUCUUCCUUUGAUUAAUAGAUGUAUCUACAAAAUAUCAUAUUUUAGGUACAACACUUCUGGCCAUAGAUCUUAACUUUCCGAUGUUCUAUUAGCUUCUUUUCAUUUGCAUUAUUUGGUAAUACAAGUGAUAAGGUAUACAAGUGGUUGGAAAAGGACCUCAAUAAUGUUGAUAAGCCAGUUACUCCAUGGCUGGUUGCCACUUGGAAUUCUCCUUGGUACUCUACUUACGCGGCAUACUAUCAAGAAGCUGAAUGUAUGAAGGUAGUGGUAGAGGUGAUGGUGAAAAUCGUGAGAAGAUGGCUAUAGAACCUGCUGAUGAGCCUAGCAAAUGUCCUGAACCAGCUAUCACACUGGACAAAUUUAUGGCCAGAUUCUGUGCCUAUAAUUUUACAUCAGGUCCAGCAGCUGGCAACUUCUGCUGGGAUCAACAACCUAAAUAUACUGCAUAUAGAGAAAAUAGCUUCGGACAUGGAAUACUCAAGAUGGCUGCUGCCAAUGGCUCAAGUGACUUAUAUUCAGAGAUGGAGGUGGAUGCAUUUAGACACCUUUUCCAUCUGCGCUAUCAUGAGCAGCAUCUUCUUAAAUAUGUCCGAACUGAUGCCUGAAAGCUUGGAAGUGCUAGAGAUAUGACACUUGCACUUGGUUUGUCUAAUCAUCAAUUCAACUUAAUUAGUUGUAUGUUUUGGAUGUAUACUUGAAGUAUUUUGCUUUGGGUAUUAUUGACGGUGUUAUUUUACAUUUAUCUUAUUUUAUUGCUAUUCCUUAUCUCAUCUUAGAUUGCUUUAUUUUGAGUCAGGGAUCUAUCGAAAAAGCCUUGCUAUCUCACUUUAAGGUAGUGGUAUGGACUGCGUACAACUACCCUCCCCAGACCCCACUUGAUGGGAAUAUACUGGGUAUGUUAAGAUUUAUUUCAAAUAGUAGAUAUAAGGAUAGAAUGAAUACGAGAUGUGGUGUUUGAGAAUAUUGAAUGAAUACGAGAUGCGAUAUUUAAGAAUAUUGACACUUGGGUCAUAAGCCCUAGGUAUAGUAUAGAAAGGAUGAAUUAAACCUGAAAUUUAGCUUCGAGGAAAAGUGACUUUCACUGUUAGCUACUAUUUGAGUGCCUAUAGUUUCCUGGCAAUGAAUGUAGACAAAAGAAACUUCUGGUAAUCAAAUUGUGCUUUCAAAUGUUAGUGUUGCCUUUGUUAUUUAUCAUUUAGCCGAACAUCUGUUCUCUGAGAUGGUUAUAAUUUUGGUGUACGUAAGGCAUCAGUACUCUUUAUUUUUAGGUCAUUGCUCUGUGCCAAGCUCCGUUUUUACUGGAUGAUCCUAAUGUUGGACUCUUAUUCCCUGCUGAUGCGAUCGCCAAGGCUAAACAUUAUCUUGCAUUGAAUUUCGGAGGUCUAGGUAUCCUUUUCUCACCUAAACUGUAUUAUUGUAUGAAUUGCGUAAUUUUAUCAUACGCUGCUCGGACCCUCCGAAAAUGCUGCCACGCUUAUGUCAGUUCUUUGAAAAAUGUAUAGCUUUUGGAGGAUCCGACACACACCUGACCGGACAGUAUCUUUGAAGAGUCGGAGCAACAUAGUGGUUAAGUGAACAUCAAAUUAUUGUUUUCAUUGUUUAUUCCCUUUGCUCUUUUAAAUUAUGGUCCCUUCUUAGGAUCUAAUCUAUCAUCUCGUGUAGAAAGCCUUCCAUUUCUCAUCCGUACUUCUUGAGCUUUAUCCGUUAGCAACUACUUAUCCACAUUGUUGUUAAAGAUCUUUCUGCCUCGACUUUCUGACAGUCCUACAAUCUUUUGUUUUGAGAAAUGAGUAACUUUAUAAAAGAUCUUUCUGCCUCGACUUUCCAACAGUCCUAUGAUCUCUUGUUUUGAAAAAUGAGUAACUUUAUUCCGCUGGUUAAUUAGGUGCUUAUAGCGACUCUCGUGGCAUUCCUGGUGUAAGCAAAGAAGUUGCGGAUUUCAUUGAGAGACGUGAUGGAUAUCCAAGUGAUCCGGAAAACAUAUUUCUCACGGAUGGUGGCAGCAAAGGAAUGAUGCAGAUCUUACAAACCAUCAUUCGAGGCCACACUGACGGGGGAACUAUAUAAAAGUUGGGACGCUGUACGGAAAAUGAGAAGAUGAGGCAAUCCUAAUAUUGGAUUUGUGUUAUACAAUAAGUGAAAUUUCUUUUGUAAUGUAUGCUAAGUUAUAAUUGUCGGGGACUCAGCUUAUCAAAGUGAAUACGAACAAUCUAACACUUCUCUUUAAAACCUCUCUCUUAACCAGGCUUAACAAGGUAAUCUUCAACUUUGUUUUGCAUGCAUAAAAUAACAUAACUUAUAUCAUAUUUAUAUUGACUCGGUUUGAUGGUA